AAACUCUGAUGAUGAAUUGGAAAAGGAAUUAGCAGAAUUGUUGGCUGAGGAUGAUGCGAAAGUUUCCAUUAUGGUUCCCAAUUCGAAUCAAGAAAUUAAAAAAUUGAAUCAACGUUUGCAAGACUUAUACAUGAAAGGUUUAGUUUCACCUAGCAAAAAUGUAGUCCUACCGUCUGUACCAUCUGAUAAAGAAAAGGCACUAAAGGAACCUGAGUGUGUGUAAGUGUCAAUAGUCAAUACGAUUAUAUAAUAACUUUAUAAAAAAUUAGUCAUCUCAAAUUAAAAAAAAAUGUUUUACUGUAGGUAUUGUGUCAUAUGAUAAAACGUAAUUUUUAAUGUACAUUGUGUAUAAAAACAAUAUGUAAAAAUUUUUUUAUUAUAUCUGUUUUGCAUAACUUGGCAUACAUGAAGUUAAAAUAGAAGAUAU